AUGCUGGAGUGCGAUGGUGUAAUCUUGGCUUAUUGCAACCUCUGCCUCCUGGGUUCAGGAGAUUCUCCUACUUCAGCGACCUGAGUAGCUGGGAUUACAGGCGCCUGUCAUCAUGCCCAGCCAACUUUUUGUAUUUUUAAUAGAGACAGAGUUUCACCAUGUUGGCCAGACUGGUCUCAAACCCCUGACCUCAGGUGAUCCCCCCGCCUAAGCCUCCCAAAGUGCUGGGAUUACAGGCAUGAGCCACAGCGCCCAGACUUACCCUAAUUACUUUUCUGGGUUUUCUCUUAUAAGUUCCUGCUGUGCAUUAAAAUACAACGCAAAUAUGGAUGAAAAUAAAACUUUUGCCCUCCUAAUAAAUGGUAAAACACUCUUUUUUUUUUUUUUUUUUUUUUUUUUUUUUUGACGGAGUAUCCCUCUUGUUGCGCAGGCUGGAGUGCAAUGGCGCGACCUCGGCUCACUGCAACCUCCGCCUCCUGGGUUUAAGCAAUUCUCCUGCCUCAGUCUCUUGAGUAGCUGGGACUACAGGAACGUACCACCAUGCCCGGCUAAUUUUUGUAUUUUUUCUAGAGACAGGGUUUUGCCAUGUUGGCCAGGCUGGUCUUCAGCUCCUGAUCUCAGGUGAUCCACCCGCUUCAGCCUCCCAAAUUGCUGGGAUUACAGGCUUGUUUGGACUGAGUUCCAGAUCUGGGCUGUCAUGGAACAUAACAGGGACCCUUCAUGGGGACAGCAAGAAGGUUCACCGACCCAAUUCAGAGGAAGGAAGAGCCUGGCCUUCAAAAUUACUAUGACCAUCAGAAUGCCCUAGGAGAUCAAAGAAAUAACGGAGUGGGUGUGAGACCUUUUACAAAUGUGUGCACUCAAGCAGUGCAAAGGCAAACCUCCUGAAGGCGUUGUAACAUCUCACUAAGCCCAGCACUCAGGCGAUGUGGCUUUCCUGCUAUGGCACUGCACACAAGAAGAAUGUUGACAUAUUCCUGGCCCAGAAUUCAGGUGGUUUGGUGACUCUCAAACCAUGAUUCAGCAGACCUGUGAGGCUGUGAGUUCCCUAUCAGAACACAAUCUGCAGGUUGUAUUGUGCCAUAUACCUGGGACCAAAUUACAAGCACAAUGAUGAAUCUUUUACCUGGAGUCAAGACAUGGGCAGGAUGAUGGAACUUAUCACUGGACCUUUCCACAGUGUUAUUGUGACAUAUGCCUUUGCCCAACAUGUGGUGAUUUGACUCCCCAGACUGGGUCCAGUUCACAAAUAAAAUUGUGCCGUAUACUUGGCCAAGAACCUAAUAGGUGUAAUUGAUGUGCCUGGG
rnacentral:lncRNA from 10 species